UACGUAGGGUGCGAGCGUUGUCCGGAAUUACUGGGCGUAAAGAGCUCGUAGGUGGUUUGUCGCGUUGUUCGUGAAAACUCACAGCUCAACUGUGGGCGUGCGGGCGAUACGGGCAGACUGGAGUACUGCAGGGGAGACUGGAAUUCCUGGUGUAGCGGUGGAAUGCGCAGAUAUCAGGAGGAACACCAGUGGCGAAGGCGACUACCUGGCCUGUUCUUGACGCUGAGGCGCGAAAGCUAGGGGAGCAAACGGG
rnacentral:rRNA from 1 species